rnacentral:rRNA from 1 species
USGGGAAUUUUGGACAAUGGGCGCAAGCYUGAUCCAGCAAUGCCGCGUGCAGGAUGAAGGCCUUCGGGUUGUAAACUGCUUUUGUACGGAACGAAAAGCCCUGGGUUAAUACCCUGGGGUCAUGACGGUACCGUAAGAAUAAGCACCGGCUAACUACGUGCCAGCAGCCGCGGUAAUACGUAGGGUGCGAGCGUUAAUCGGAAUUACUGGGCGUAAAGCGUGCGCAGGCGGUUUUGUAAGACAGAGGUGAAAUCCCCGGGCUCAACCUGGGAACUGCCUUUGUGACUGCAAGGCUAGAGUACGGCAGAGGGGGAUGGAAUUCCGSGUGUAGCAGUGAAAUGCGUAGAUAUGCGGAGGAACACCGAUGGCGAAGGCAAUCCCCUGGGCCUGUACUGACGCUCAUGCACGAAAGCGUGGGGAGCMAACAGGAUUAGAUACCCUGGUAGUCCACGCCCUAAACGAUGUCAACUGGUUGUUGGGUCUUAACUGACUCAGUAACGAAGCUAACGCGGAAGUKACCSC